AUGUAAAUGCAUACAACUUAACAUUAAUGCAUUGAAUCCCAUUAGAACUCCACAGUUAAGCAUGCUCGGUCUAGAGUAGUAUUUGGAUGGGUGACCACCCGGGAAGUCCUAGUAUUUUACAUG
rnacentral:rRNA from 1 species